UACGGAGGGUGCAAGCGUUAAUCGGAAUUACUGGGCGUAAAGCGUGCGCAGGCGGUUUGUUAAGUCCGUUGUGAAAGCCCCGAGCUCAACUUGGGAAUUGCAGUGGAUACUGGCAGGCUGGAGUACGGUAGAGGAAGGUGGAAUUCCCGGUGUAGCAGUGAAAUGCGUAGAGAUCGGGAGGAACACCAGAGGCGAAGGCGGCGACCUGGACAGGCACUGACACUCAACUACGAAAGCGUGGGGAGCAAACAGG
rnacentral:rRNA from 1 species